CAGGGAGACAAUAAAUUGAUUGUGAUGUCUAAGUUAUUUAUUCUUAGGCCGCAAUCCUGUCACCUUAAGGUCGAUCGGUACCUCAGAUUUUUGAAUUAGUUUUAUAAUUGAUUCUUUGAUUUCAGUUCCUAAACUUGUCUAGGUCACACCCAACAAAGGUUUCUCCUGGGCCAUUAGCUCAGGUGGUUAGAGCGCACCCCUGAUAAGGGUGAGGUCCCUGGUUCAAGUCCAGGAUGGCCCAUUCGUUGUUGGGGGUAUAGCUCAGUUGGUAGAGCGCCUGCUUUGCAAGCAGGAUGUCAGCGGUUCGAGUCCGCUUACCUCCACUGAAAACUAUCCUGAUAACUAAAUUUCUGGAGAAAAAAAUUGUAGAUGUGGCUUAGAAUUGUCUAUUUGAAAAGAACCUAGCUUCUUGUCAUCUUUUUAUAGUUGAUAAAAUGCUGGGCUCGCAUGGAUUAUUUCCAUGAGAAUUCAGUAGAACCUUGAAAACUGCAUAGAUUAGAAAGAAUAAAGCAUCUCAUGGAUGCAUAGUUCUGUUUUUAUAAUUUAGCCUUAAAACUAAAUUAUUUAAUUCUAGAAUUCAUGUUUAAUUCUUGAGUAAUAGCCGAGCACAAUUGAUUUUGUGAUUGUAUUUAA
rnacentral:tRNA from 1 species